UUUAAAAAAAAUUGAACGCCUGGGAAACGAAAUGUUUAGUCUAAAGGCAUCUCUGACGUCUAUGACAGAGCACACUGAAAUUAAGACAAAUCGACCAACCCCGAAAGAACAGAGAAUUUCAACCCCAAUGGCUACGCCGAUGUAUAAAAGUGACGAAGAUUGGACGCAUCACCCGUUAGCGCCAAGCAUGAGUGCUAGAGAGCCCGGGUUGAUUUUCAACCCGGGUCAGCACGCCACAGGUG